ensembl:lncRNA
UGAGAGCCAACAGAUUCAUUGUCGCAUCGGUAAAUAACUAACCUGAAAACGUGGCCCGUUGUCUCACUGUUACAUCAAGCCUUUGAAAGAGCGACAUUCAUUGUAUUGGAAAACAAAACAAAAAAGGUAUAUAGUUAUCCAUUUGUGUCAGUGUAAAAUAAGGGACAUUAUAUGGGACAUUAUGGUUCAUUUAGUUAUAUUUCUAGCCACAGGAUAUGUGGAACUGUGAACAGACUGGCCACGCCAGGUGAGACAUGGAGAGAACCUCAAUUGCUUUUCCUUGAUUCUUCGCAUCCUCUCUUCUCACCUCCUUCUUAAAAGCCCAUUGGAUGAGAAGGUAAGAGUUCCCUCCCCAUCUGACCAUUUCAUCCAAUGCGUGCUGAGAAGGAAGCGAGGAUGCUAGAAAUCAAGGAAAGGCCAUUGAGAUCCUCCCAUAGACGGCUGUCAGGACUGGGAGAGACACCUGAACAGAGGGGAGAGGGACACUGAUACUCCUACCACAUUAAGCAAUACAAAGAGGAGUCAUGAAAUUCAGCUUCUUUAAAAGACUUCAAAACAUAAUUGGUUGUCAUAGACGGUAUCAAAUACAUAUACAGUACAAACUGCUGCAAUGGACAAAUCUGUACACAGAACGAUUCAGGUACGAACAGUCUUCCAGCAUUACUGUUUCUGAUAAAUCACUUGAAGGCUGAGACUUUCAUCAUGCAACAUAAUCAAUGACUACAUCAACUCCUUUACAAUCUUCCCCACAGUGUCGAUGUUCAACACACCAAGAACCUUAUUUCACUACGUUUUGGGAGGCGAGUGAAGCUAACAGAUCAUAUAAACGAGUACAAGGGAAGUAAGACUGUCUGUACAUGUUGACAAAGGGCCUCAUGGUUGGCUAAACAUGAACUCUACAUCAUUUAAAAAAAAAAACAUUGCUGUAAGGUUGGGUGUAUGUUGAAGCAACUUCUGGGAACCUCCAGUCCAGAGGAACAGACAUCUAACUACUUGUACAUACAUUAUCACCAUGCCAACCCACACAUUCUAGUACGAUUAACAAUAUGGAUUCAGAAACAAAAUGACAUUUUUUCAAUAUAAAUCAUGUCUCUUUCAGUCUUACCAAAUCAGAUGUCAGCGGCAUAGAAAACCACUGAGUGGACAAAACAUGAGGAACACUUUCUUAAUAUUGAGUUGUAUCCCCAUUUGCACUCAGAACAGCCUCAAUUCGUCGGGACAUGGACUCCACAAGGUGUCGAAAGCGUUCCGCAGGGAUAGUGGCCCAUGUUGACUCCAGUGUUUCCCACAGUUGUCUCAAUUGGCUGAAUGUCCUUUGGAUGGAGGACCAUUGUUAAUACACACGGAAACUGUUGAAAAAUCCAGCAGCGUUGCAGUUCUUCACACACUUAAACUGGUGCGGCUGGCGCCUACUACCAUACCCCGUUCAAAGGCACUUAAAUAUUUUGUCUUGACCAUUCAUCCUCUGAAUGGCACACAAUCCAUGUCUCAAGGAUUAACCACUCCUUCUUUAAACUGUCUCCUCCACCUUCAUCUACACUGAUUGAAGAGAAUUUAACAAGUGACCUCAAUAAGGGAUCAUAGCUUUCACCUGGAUUCACCUGGUCAGUCUAUGUCAUGCAUUCACCUGGUCAGUCUAUGUCAUGCGUUCACCUGGUCAGUCUAUGUCAUGCAUUCACCUGGUCAGUCUAUGUCAUGCAUUCACCUGGUCAGUCUAUGUCAUGCAUUCACCUGGUCAGUCUAUGUCAUGCAUUCACCUGGUCAGUCUAUGUUAUGC